GCGAGAGUAGCCAAGUGGUCAACGGCGAUGGACUCAAGAUCCAUUUUCGUAGGAAUUCGUGGGUUCGACUCCCCCCUCUCGCA
rnacentral:tRNA from 1 species